rnacentral:tRNA from 1 species
GGGUCAAUACUCAAGUUGGUGAAGAGGUCACCCUGCUAAGGUGAUAGGUCGGUUUCCGGCGCAAGAGUUCGAGUCUCUUUUGACCCGCCA